UAGAGACACAGUGAAUCCCUGACAGAGC
rnacentral:piRNA from 1 species